rnacentral:rRNA from 1 species
CCUACGGGAGGCAGCAGUGGGGAAUAUUGCACAAUGGGGGAAACCCUGAUGCAGCGACGCCGCGUGAAGGAUGAAGUAUUUCGGUAUGUAAACUUCUAUCAGCAGGGAAGAAAAUGACGGUACCUGACUAAGAAGCCCCGGCUAACUACGUGCCAGCAGCCGCGGUAAUACGUAGGGGGCAAGCGUUAUCCGGAUUUACUGGGUGUAAAGGGAGCGUAGACGGCAUGGCAAGUCUGAUGUGAAAACCCGGGGCUCAACCCCGGGACUGCAUUGGAAACUGUCAGGCUAGAGUGUCGGAGAGGCAAGUGGAAUUCCUAGUGUAGCGGUGAAAUGCGUAGAUAUUAGGAGGAACACCAGUGGCGAAGGCGGCUUGCUGGACGAUGACUGACGUUGAGGCUCGAAAGCGUGGGGAGCAAACAGGAUUAGAUACCCCAGUAGUC